UAGGAGGGCGGCGAUCAAGGCGCACAGGUGAGCGCCGUAGCGGGGUCGCCGCCGUGCACGUAGGUUCCUUAGCAUCUCAGUCCGUCAGGUGUUCAAGUGGAUAUAUGUAACUAUACAUAUAUCGAGGUCGAGAGAGAGGCUGUCCAGUCGCCGGUAGAUUAUGCAGUACUGCGAAGGAGUAGUACCUCUAGCUGGAAUUAGUUGAACCACGCCAGCGAAGUGCUCUUUCCUC